CGCUGGAAGAUUUGCUACAAUUCUGCAAGAAAUACAGCAGGUAGAAAAUCAGAAGCUCCAUUGUGAGCAAAGGCUCAGGCUAUUCUGGGAGCAUCCGUGAUGAGUGAGUUUUAUACCCAUGAAUUGGAUACAUUCGGGCUUAAUUUAUUGUUGUUCUUAAGUCUUUUAGGAUGUUUUUAUGUAAGAAAGACAGGUCAAGGUUGCUCAAAGAUCAAGGACGGAGCUGGUGAGCGACGAUUGGCUGAGGGGAGUUCCAUCAUGUAGCUGGGUACAAAUAAUCCAGUAAAAGAUAAGUAAAAGCCAGUGAAAGAGGAGUAGUCAGGGUACGACGAAGCACGCCUGUACGUAAGCGAAUAUGGAUCACGUGGGUUUGUACUGAUCCGCUUUCGAGCUGUCGAGUGAGGAUUGCUCCAUCUAUUAAGAAAGGACGCGGGGAGCCUUGUUUAUUUAUAAAGGGAGUACUUUCUUCUCUGAUGUGCGUUCUAUUAUUGCCUCCUAUUCCUGAGGGAGUGAUCGGGAUUAAGCCGCGUGGCGAUACCCAGAAAGGAUUUUUUUUUUGCUGCCAUGGACCCCCGCGCCUAUAAAUAGGACGCUUCUUUCACUCUCUAUUUUCAAAGAGAGAGGUAGAAGUCAGAAAGAAAGACUUUCAGUAACACUUAUUCCAAAAACACUCUUAUGGAUAUCGCCGGAAGACUUGCUACAAUUCCGCAAGAAAUACAACAGGUAGAAAAUCAGAAGCUCCACUGCGAGCAAAGGCUCGGGCUAUUCUGGGAGCAUCUGCCUGCUCUCGAUCCUCAUUUUAUAGGAGAAAUUAUGCAGGGGAUCCGGGAGCAAAUACGCGAUUGCCAAAACAGGAAGAGGACCCUCCUCGAAGAACAGCAAGAGCUCAUUGUGCGGGCCGCCACCCUCGGUGACCGGGAAGACUAGAAUAGAAGAGUCCGUCGACUCUUUUUAGUUUUAGAAGGUUUAAAUAAGUGUCUGUAGACGCAAAGUAGUGUGUUUUAAUGCAUGGCUUUCUCUGUCUUUGUUUGGUGGAGAUCUACUCCUAUGCUCACUGGUUCUGGAAGACCUAUCUAUGCUAAGUGUCUGUGUUUGGUUUUCUUUUUUGUGUUUGCAUGUAUGUAUGGACCAAACCCUAGUCUAAAGUGUUCAAUGCUUAUGUUAAUAUAAUAAUAAAGAAUUGUAAAAAUGUGCUGAAAAUUCAUGUGAAAGUUGAAAUAAGGUGUAAGCUAAGUGUACUGGAGAUGUGCUUAUGUUGCCUUUCCAGCUCUGAAGCUUCCUUCUUCCUUGAGUCUGCGCCGUCUGAAAUACCAAACCCUAAAUCUUGCUAGUUCAGUUCGUGUGUUUUACGUGAGCGCGCUUCACUAGCGUGCGUAGAAAAAACACACUAACUUGAUCAUAAAAGAAAGUGAAACGUUUUGUCUUUCUAUCUCCAAUUCUCUCUUUUUCCUCACAUAAAAUCAUGAAAAGGAAGGAUCCGAGCCCAUCCAUCUCCUACAUGAAAGGAUCUGAGUCCAUCAAAAUAGCCCAGAAAAUUACAGCCAUCAAAAAAAAGGCCUAAGCCUAUAUAGCCUCGGCCCAUCCAAAUGAUGUUCAGCGGUCUAAACCCAAGUAACUGUGGCCCAUGAUCCAAGGGACCCGCAACCAGUCAAUCAUGCUAUCCUUACCUUCCAACCAAUCGGAAAAUCACGCUAUCCUUCACUUUCAACCCGAUUCCGCUUCUGCAGCAGUAUAUAAUCUCGGUCCCUUGAUGCCUACAGCUCCAUUUUUUUUCCAGUGAUGGCAAGAAUCCGCGAAAUACUGCUUUUUCUUUUUCUUCUUCUUGUGUUGUUUCUGAAUGGCAUCAUAGCUACACGAGGGAAAGCGAUGCUGCCCACUCUGCCGCAAAAGGGGGCCGCUUUCUUCCCCCCCCAAAAAAACGCCAGUUCCACCAUCAGGGCCCAGCAAGCAGCAUAAUUCUGUUCCGAGGCUGCGUUUUAUUCCAGCAACAGUAGUCUAUGGUUCGAAGCGCCUUGUUCCAUCCGGCGCGAAUCCCCUCCAUCACUAGUAUAGUGGAGGUCUUAUUUGUCUUGCAAGAAUUAAUAAACGUACGAACACAAAUAAUGAGCAGACCAUCCCACUUUUAUAUGUGGGUUCAUUUCAUAAUUGAUUUGUGUUUUGAAUAAAGAAGCGCGCUCCUAGUUAGUGUAACGCAGGUGUCUUUCUCGGUUGAUGGAAGUGAUAAAUGCCUAUAUCGCUUUAGAAUGUUAUUGUUAUGUUGAUGCUAUAUUAAAGAAUCUAAUCUAAUUUGCUUAAAGUAAUAUUCUUUAUAAUUGUCUUCCUCUUUCUGUGUAAACGAACUUCAAGUCUUAAUUGUUUACUCAACAGGAAGAGUCACAACCUAGGUUUGGGCCGCCUCCGAUGUCAAUCUGCAGUAAUAGUUUUCGGAAGCAGCCUAUCUAGUUUUUCGAGGUGGGUUCUAUUCACCUAUAACUAUUUGCCUGCUUCUUUCUAGGCUAUG
rnacentral:lncRNA from 1 species